rnacentral:rRNA from 1 species
UACAGAGGGGGCAAGCGUUGUUCGGAAUUACUGGGCGUAAAGGGCGCGUAGGCGGCCUGCUAAGUCGAAUGUGAAAUCCCCGGGCUCAACCCGGGAACUGCGUCCGAUACUGGCAGGCUUGAAUCCGGGAGAGGGAUGUGGAAUUCCAGGUGUAGCGGUGAAAUGCGUAGAUAUCUGGAGGAACACCGGUGGCGAAGGCGGCAUCCUGGACCGGUAUUGACGCUGAUGCGCGAAAGCCAGGGGAGCAAACGGG